GACGAACGCUGGCGGCGUGCUUAACACAUGCAAGUCGAACGGAAAGGCCCUGCUUUUGUGGGGUGCUCGAGUGGCGAACGGGUGCGUAACACGUGAGUAACCUGCCCUUGACUUUGGGAUAACUUCAGGAAACUGGGGCUAAUACAGGAUAGGAGCUCCUGCUGCAUGGAGGGGGUUGGAAAUUUUCGGCGGUUGGGGAUGGACUCGCGGCUUAUCAGCUUGUUGGUGGGGUAGUGGCUUACCAAGGCUUUGACGGGUAGCCGGCCUGAGAGGGUGACCGGCCACAUUGGGCCUGCGAUACGGCCCAGACUCCUACGGGAGGCAGCAGUGGGGAAUAUUGCACAAUGGGCGGAAGCCUGAUGCAGCAACGCCGCGUGCGGGAUGACGGCCUUCGGGUUGUAAACCGCUUUCGCCUGUGACGAAGCGUGAGUGACGGUAAUGGGUAAAGAAGCACCGGCUAACUACGUG
rnacentral:rRNA from 1 species